CACGUAGGCUCCAAGCGUUGUCCGGAUUUAUUGGGCGUAAAGAGCGCGUAGGCGGCCCGUUAAGUCGGAUGUGAAAACCCGUGGCUCAACCACGGGCCUGCAUCCGAUACUGGCGGGCUCGAGGCAGGCAGGGGAGAUCGGAAUUCCUGGUGUAGCGGUGAAAUGCGCAGAUAUCAGGAGGAACACCGGUGGCGAAGGCGGAUCUCUGGGCCUGUCCUGACGCUCAGGCGCGAAAGCUAGGGGAGCAAACAGG
rnacentral:rRNA from 1 species